UUCGGUUCUGGAGCACUAGUUGCUCAACAACGGUGAGGGCUUCGGUCCUGAUGAAUGCUUUAACCAUUCAAAAGCGGUGAGGGCCUCGGUCCUGAUUGGUACCACAUGCAUAAUUGCAUUUCAUUAAGAAGUCUAAGAUGGUGUCUUAGCAGUGGUCAUGUCAUUUGCAUGAGUCUUGGUUGAUUUCAGUUAUUAUCUGGUUGUUACUGUUGAUGUUGUUGAUAUUCUAUACAUUGUUUACAUACUUGUUAAAUGGAUGGUGUUGAUGAUGUUGUUGUGGCUUGUGAACAAAUAUUGAUAAUUGCGAAGUUGAUGUAAUUGAAGUUAUAGGGUGUUAGAUUCAUUUGAUGAUUUUAAUAUCUAUAUUUAUUGUUGUGAAUCUCACCCCUUCUGCUUGAAAAUGUUGCCCUUCCUAUGGGUAACUUGCAGGUGAUCCUGAGUAGUAGGUGGUGGCUCAUCGUCGUGUCUAGGGCUCUGAUACGUGGGAUGGGAAUAUUGAUUAUCUUUGUUGUUGUUGCUUUUCCUUUUCAUGUAUCAAAUUUUGGAACUUGU
rnacentral:lncRNA from 1 species